UGUUUCAAAAUCAGUAUACAUUGCGGAAUAGCUAAAUCAAGAUAAGUAGGAUAAGUAUUGCUUCACUGUCUUCAUUACUUUUCUUUCCUUCUUUUUUGGAACCGGGGGAUUGAACUCUGGCAGGCGGUGGAACCACUGAGCUAAAUCCUCAGCCCUUCGUUUUACUUUUCUCUUGUUGCUGAGACAAAAUACUUGACACCCAAAGUUAAAGGAAGAAAGGUUUGUUUAGCUUACAGUUCGUAGAGGGUUCAGUCCAUAGUUGGCUGGCUCCAAGGCAGAGUGGCACAUGGCAGAGGGGCAUGGCAGAGGAGAACAUCUCAUGGCACCACAAGGUAGCAAAAGCAACUAGAGACCUUAACAGCAUCUGCCUGCCCCUUUCACCUUAUUCAGACAAUUUAGGGUGGGCAAUACUCACACCCUUAACCCUAGUGCCCUUGGGUCUAGCAUUGUACCAUGAAUCAAUCUCACACUCUAAUUCAUCCACCUCUGAAAAAGCCCCAUCUGAGACUGCAUGACGCUUUGGGGGUGCAUCUAGACACAGCCAUAACAUCCACUCACAAUUUUUUGUGGUAGAACACUUAAAAUGCACACUCUCAGCAUUUUUCAAUACCUCAAUACAUUGUUAUUGACUGCAGUCACCGUGCUGCAGAAUAGAUGGCAUGAACCAGUUUCUCUUGCCCACUGAAACUGAUUUCUGGCCCACAUCCUCCAAAUUUCUAGUUUCUUAAAAUAGAUGCUGAGUUCAUCUAUAUCUGAGCUUUUUAUUAUAGACAUUUCAGUGCUAUAAAUUUCCCUCCAAGUAAUACUUUAAAUCUAGCUUCUUUUCAUUGCAUCCAAAAUACUUGCUAAUUUCUCUUGAAUUCUUCUUUGACAGUUGGGUUAUCUAGCAAUGUAUCCUUAGUUUCACGAUGUUUGGGAACAUCUUAAAGAUAUUGAUUCUUUAAUUCUAUCAUGUUUAGAGACUGCCUUGUGCAUUGUUUGAAUUAUUAAAGUUUGUUGGCAGCUGGGUGUGGGAAUGCCUACCUGUACUCUAGCACCCUGGAAGGCAGGCCCUAUCCAAAAACAAAUAAAAACCCUAAAAACACACAGAACCCUA
ensembl:lncRNA